rnacentral:rRNA from 1 species
AGAGUUUGAUCCUGGCUCAGGAUGAACGCUAGCGGCAGGCCUAACACAUGCAAGUCGAACGGUAACAUGAGAGCUUGCUCUCGAUGACGAGUGGCGCACGGGUGCGUAACACGUAUGCAACCUACCUUCAACUGGGGAAUAGCCCGAAGAAAUUCGGAUUAAUACCCCAUAAUAAUAGAAAUUCGCAUGUUUUUCUAUUUAAAACUCCGGUGGUUGAAGAUGGGCAUGCGUCCUAUUAGUUAGUUGGUGAGGUAACGGCUCACCAAGACUCCGAUAGGUAGGGGUUCUGAGAGGAAGAUCCCCCACACUGGUACUGAGACACGGACCAGACUCCUACGGGAGGCAGCAGUGAGGAAUAUUGGACAAUGGACGAAAGUCUGAUCCAGCCAUGCCGCGUGUAGGAAGACUGCCCUCUGGGUUGUAAACUACUUUUAUAAGGGAAUAAACCCCCGUACGUGUACGGGGCUGAAUGUACCUUAAGAAUAAGCACCGGCUAACUCCGUGCCAGCAGCCGCGGUAAUACGGAGGGUGCAAGCGUUAUCCGGAUUUAUUGGGUUUAAAGGGUCCGUAGGUGGAAUUGUAAGUCAGUGGUGAAAUCUUUCGGCUUAACCGGAAAACUGCCAUUGAUACUGCAGUUCUUGAGUAUGCUCGAGGUAGGCGGAAUAUGUCAUGUAGCGGUGAAAUGCAUAGAUAUGAC